AUUGAACGCUGGCGGCAGGCUUAACACAUGCAAGUCGAGCGAGCGGCGGACGGGUGAGUAAUGUCUGGGAAACUGCCUGAUGGAGGGGGAUACCUACCGGAAACGGUAGCUAAUACCACAUACCAUCAGCUGUGCCCAGAUGGGAUUAGCUUGUAGGUGGGGUAAUGGCUCACCUAGGCGACGAUCCCUAGCUGGUCUGAUAGGAUGACCCGCCACACUGGAACUGAGACACGGUCCAGACUCCUACGGGAGGCAGCAGUGGGGAAUAUUGCACAAUGUGCGGAAGCCGGAUGGAGCCAUGCCGCGUGUGUGAAGAAGGCCUUCGGGUUGUAAAGCACUUUCAGCGAGGAGGCGUUACUCGCAGAAGAAGCACCGGCUAACUCCGUGCCAGCAGCCGCGGUAAGUC
rnacentral:rRNA from 1 species